rnacentral:rRNA from 1 species
AUUGAACGCUGGGGCAUGCCUUACACAUGCAAGUCGAACGGCAGCACGGGGCAACCUGGUGGCGAGUGGCGAACGGGUGAGUAAUAUAUCGGAACGUACCCUGGAGUGGGGGAUAACGUAGCGAAAGUUACGCUAAUACCGCAUACGAUCCAAGGAUGAAAGCAGGGGACCGCAAGGCCUUGUGCUCCUGGAGCGGCCGAUAUCUGAUUAGCUAGUUGGUAGGGUAAAAGCCUACCAAGGCAUCGAUCAGUAGCUGGUCUGAGAGGACGAUUAGCCACACUGUAACUGAGACACGGUCCAAGCUCCUGCGGUAGGCAGCAGUGGGGAAUUUUGGACAAUGGGCGCAAGCCUGAUCCAGCAAUGCCGCGUGAGUGAAGAAGGCCUUCGGGUUGUAAAGCUCUUUUGUCAGGGAAGAAACGGGGAAGGCUAAUAUCUUUCUCUAAUGACGGUACCUGAAGAAUAAGCACCGGCUAACUACGUGCCAGCCGCCGCGGUAAUAC